UACGAAGGGUGCAAGCGUUGCUCGGAAUUAUUGGGCGUAAAGGGUAGGUAGGUGGUUGCGUAUGUCUGGGGUGAAAUCCCUGAGCUUAACUCAGGACGUGCCUUGGAAACGGCGUAACUAGAGUACUAGAGAGGUUCGUGGAAUUCCUGGUGUAGCGGUGAAAUGCGUAGAGAUCAGGAGGAACAUCAGAGGCGAAGGCGACGAACUGGAUAGUAACUGACACUCAACUACGAAAGCGUGGGGAGCAAACAGG
rnacentral:rRNA from 1 species